AACGAACGCUGGCGGCAUGCCUAACACAUGCAAGUCGAACGAAGUCUUCGUACUUAGUGGCGCACGGGUGCGUAACGCGUGGGAAUCUUCCCUUGGGUACGGAAUAACUCAGAUAAAUUUGUGCUAAUACCGUAUAAUGUCUUCGGACCAAAGAUUUAUCGCCCUAGGAUGAGCCCGCGUAAGUUUAGCUAGUUGGUGGGGUAAAAGCCUACCAAGGCGACGAUCUUUAGCUGGUCUGAGAGGAUGAUCAGCCACACUGGGACUGAGACACGGCCCAGACUACUACGGGAGGGAGGAGUGGGGAAUAUUGGACAAUGGGCGAAAGCCUGAUCCAGCUAUGCCGCGUGAGUGAUGAAGGCCCUAGAGUUGUAAAGCUCUUUUACCAGGGAUGAUAAUGACGGUACCUGGAGAAUAAGCACCGGCUAACUCCGUG
rnacentral:rRNA from 1 species